rnacentral:rRNA from 1 species
UACGAAGGGGGGCUAGCGUUGCUCGGAAUCACUGGGCGUAAAGCGCACGUAGGCGGAUUGCUAAGUCAGGGGGUGAAAUCCUGGAGCUCAACUCCAGAACUGCCUUUUGAUACUGGUGAUCUUGAGUCCGGGAGAGGUGAGUGGAACUGCGAGUGUAGAGGUGAAAAUGCGCAGAUAUCAGGAAGAACACCAAUGGCGAAAAGCAGCUUUCUGGGACGGUACUGACGCUGAGACGCGAAAAGCGUGGGGAGCGAACAGG